CCGGCCAACCCGCCUGUCCCGGACCGCCCGGCGUCAGACGGAGCGACGGGGCCGGCCGCAGCCUCAGCCACGCGUCCCUCGGUGGCGGGCAGGCUCCUCUUGGCCUGCAGCCUUACUUUCAUGCCCUUCUUCACAGUGUACUCAUCAGCACGGCAUAAGGAAAGAGCAGACACGGCUCCUGCCCUCAUAAUGCUUACAGUCUACAGAACAGUGCUGGGGACACAGUCCUGAGUGUUGCCUUCUGAUCAACCACUUAACUGACUGCCUGGCCUCAGGAAAGCAGCUGAGCUUAUCUGUUCUUAGUCUCCUGGGAGAUUAAGAUGAGUGAUCUAGAGGAGGAAGAUGUUGAUGAAUUCAGCUCCAGUGGUUUUAAGUGCCCAACAUGCUUUGCAGUGCAAGGAAGGAAAUGCGAUACAGAACUCAAAUGGUGUGCAGCAGAUAAAAUAAAGUGUAUUGAAUUCUCUGGCAUCAUAAACACAGGUAUUCGUGACGUAGCCAUUGAAAUGAAGAGAUGCACACAAGCAGACCUAUGCAAAGAGACGAUAACUUCUUAGAUGGGUUUUCCAAUUGCUAACAAGAGUAGAAAUUGCAAAUCAGCCAUCAGAAAUGGGGCCAGAAUCAGACCCCCAUCUCCCAUCUUCUUUGUUCUUUUCCUGGGGAGGGUACUUCAUGGAGCUCUGGCAAGAGCCUAGCCACUUCCAUUUAUGAAUUAAACCUGAAUUUUUUUGUUAA
ensembl:lncRNA novel transcript